rnacentral:rRNA from 1 species
UACGGAGGGUGCGAGCGUUGUCCGGAAUCACUGGGCGUAAAGGGCGCGUAGGUGGCGCGGCAAGUCAACGGUGAAAGCUCGACGCUCAACGUCGAGUCGGCCGUCGAUACUGCUGGGCUUGAGCACUGUAGAGGCAGAUGGAAUUCCGGGUGUAGCGGUGGAAUGCGUAGAGAUCCGGAAGAACACCGGUGGCGAAGGCGGUCUGCUGGGCAGUAGCUGACACUGAUGCGCGACAGCAUGGGGAGCAAACAGG